AAGAAAUAAAUAACAAGAGGCUGUCACAACGACAGCAAACCGGAUUUAUUAAUAUUUAUUUGUGUCCUGGCAAUAUCACAAGAACCAUUACUGAUGAAUGGUGAAAGUGAAAAUCUUCAAUAUCAAAUUUGACCUCCAUUUUGUCAUCAGUAUCAACAUCUUAAAAUUUGAAAAGCUUAGAUUGAAUGGUUCAUGAGUAAAUGCAACAACGUGAAUGGAAACGCCAUUUCACAAUCUUUCAAGAACCAUAACUCCUAAACGGUAAAAGUCAAAAUCGUCAUUAUUGAACUUGACCUCUAAUUUGCCAUCAGUAACAACAUAUAAAAAUUUCAAAAGCUUUGGUUGAAUGGUUCAUGAGAAAAUGCACGGACAC
rnacentral:lncRNA from 1 species